UUUAAAACCCUCAUCCCUCUUUCACUUUCACCAGAGUCUGUCAUGUCAUUUUGCACCCUCAGAUUAUCAUCAUGUAUAUGUUUUUAGUAUUGUUUUUUAAGUUGAUUUCAGUUUGGGAGUAUGUGAAUGUAAAACGGCGGUGCUAAAAAACAAA